rnacentral:rRNA from 1 species
GAGUUUGAUCCUGGCUCAGGAUGAACGCUAGCGGCAGGCUUAAUAUAUGCAAGUCGUGGGGCAGCAGGGGUAGCAAUACCCGCUGGCGACCGGCAAACGGGUGCGGAACACGUACGCAACCUUCCUUUAACUGGAGAAUAGCCCCUCGAAAGAGGGAUUAAUACUCCGUAACAUAUACAUGUGGCAUCACAAGUAUAUUAUAGCUCCGGCGGUUAAAGAUGGGCGUGCGCCUGAUUAGAUAGUUGGCGGGGUAACGGCCCACCAAGUCUGCGAUCAGUAACUGGUGUGAGAGCACGACCAGUCACACGGGCACUGAGACACGGGCCCGACUCCUACGGGAGGCAGCAGUAAGGAAUAUUGGUCAAUGGACGCAAGUCUGAACCAGCCAUGCCGCGUGGAGGAUUAAGGCCCUCUGGGUUGUAAACUCCUUUUAUCUGGGAAGAAAUGCAUUUUUUCUAAAGUGCUUGACGGUACCAGAGGAAUAAGCACCGGCUAACUCCGUGCCAGCAGCCGCGGUAAUACGGAGGGUGCAAGCGUUAUCCGGAUUCACUGGGUUUAAAGGGUGCGUAGGUGGGUUGGUAAGUCAGUGGUGAAAUCUCCGUGCUUAACAUGGAAACUGCCAUUGAUACUACUGGUCUUGAAUUUUCAGAAGGUAAGCGGAAUAUGUCAUGUAGCGGUGAAAUGCUUAGAUAUGACAUAGAACACCAAUUGCGAAGGCAGCUUACUGCAGGAACAUUGACACUGAGGCACGAAAGCGUGGGGAUCAAACAGGAUUAGAUACCCUGGUAGUCCACGCCCUAAACGAUGGAUACUCGACAUUUGCGAUACACAGUAAGUGUCUGANCGAAAGCAUUAAGUAUCCCACCUGGGAAGUACGACCCCAGGGUGAAACUCAANGAAUUGGCNGGGGUCCNCACAACGGUGGANCAUGUGGUUUAUUCAUGAUCNCGAGNANCUUACUGGGCUAAANGUAUCUGACCUGGUGAAACUCAUUUNUAACAUACNAAAUUNAANGGCUNCANGCUUCCCCCNCNGCCNGAGGUUGGUUAGUCCCCCAC